UACGUAGGGUGCAAGCGUUGUCCGGAAUUAUUGGGCGUAAAGAGCUUGUAGGCGGUUUGUCGCGUCUGCUGUGAAAUUUCGGGGCUCAACCCCGAACUUGCAGUGGGUACGGGCAGACUAGAGUGUGGUAGGGGAGACUGGAAUUCCUGGUGUAGCGGUGAAAUGCGCAGAUAUCAGGAGGAACACCGAUGGCGAAGGCAGGUCUCUGGGCCACUACUGACGCUGAGAAGCGAAAGCAUGAGGAGCGAACAGG
rnacentral:rRNA from 1 species